rnacentral:rRNA from 1 species
UACGUAGGGGGCAAGCGUUGUCCGGAAUUAUUGGGCGUAAAGAGCGCGUAGGCGGUCCGAUAAGUCGGCUGUGAAAGUCAGGGGCUCAACCCUUGGAAGCCGGCCGAUACUGUCGGACUAGAGUCCGGAAGAGGCGAGUGGAAUUCCUGGUGUAGCGGUGAAAUGCGCAGAUAUCAGGAGGAACACCGGUGGCGAAGGCGGGUCUCUGGGCCGAUACUGACGCUGAGGAGCGAAAGCGUGGGGAGCAAACAGG